AGAGCGUUCCGAAGGUUCUCCUUGGGGAAUGGCACCGCCAAGAACGUUCCACUAGGGGCGCUGUAGGGCGCCCUGCGCAGAUAAAGGGAUUUUGGUUUUUUCGUGUCAGGAGCCACCGGAGUUGCUUCUGGAGUUAAAGACAGUUGUCUCUGGGGAGUAGAGUCCAACCACCGAAUGCAUCUCACAAAGGCCAACAGGUAAUCUUCAGACUUUGGUAACUCCUCCGUCAUAAGGAAGCAGCACUUGAUUUGAACUGACACCUUUGAAGAAGGAUCCUCCAUAUCCAAUUAUCCAGUUCCCUGAUGAGACUAUGUUUACCUGAAGACUCUGAAGUGUGAUGAGAGGAGUUUGAUGUUUUCAGUGAUAUUGCAACUAGUCUGCAUUCCUGUCUAUUAUAUAAACUUCUAUUCCAUUGCUCCUUAUCUUCUUUCUAGAUUUCCUUCAUAAGAGACCUGUUUAAUUUAUUAUUCCAUCCAAAUUGGUGUUUGACCACAUUACAGAAUUUAUGUAAUGAAAAGAAGGAAUUAUGAAUUUUUACUGAUUGCGUUAAUAAGACUGAAAUAUUCACUUAUCUAGUAACUGGGUUGAUCUUUGAUUUAGCCUAUGGGGCCUGGCUGUAUUAGCAAUUGAGACUGUGGGUAGAAGCAAUUACUUUGAGGCUGACUUUGGAGAGAAACUGGUCUUCAACAGGUGCUGGCUUUACUUUCCUGGAUACUGAUGGGACAAGAGCAAGUCACAAGAGAAUGGGAGUAACAUUUCAGUUCCAAGCAUGAAAAACAAGACAGCAGGCUUAGCCCUUUUUGUUUCAAAAGUCUGUAAGAAUAAAAAGAGUUUUUCCCCUGCCACUGGAAGAACAGCAGAAGGGAGCAUUCUGGCCUCCUUCUUAUGCCCAUCAAACUUGUUUGUGCUAAAGGGUUGCAUUUGAAAAGUUACGUAAUGGUUAGCAUUAUUUGGGAUGGAGAAGGGCUUGAAGGAGAGGUUACUGACACUAUAAUAAUAAAAUAAUAAAACUUUAUUUGUAUACCGCUCUAUCGCCCCAAAGGGACACAGGGCAGUUUCCAACAUAGGUAAAACAUUCAAUUAUCAACACAGAAACAUACAACACAACCAUAAUAAAACAUCAACAUAAUUACAAUUGACACAACAUAUUCAUGUAUAAUUAAAACCAGCUCAAUGCUC